rnacentral:rRNA from 1 species
UACGGAGGGUGCAAGCGUUAUCCGGAUUCACUGGGUUUAAAGGGUGCGUAGGUGGGUUGCCAAGUCCGUGGUGAAAUCUCCGAGCUUAACUCGGAAACUGCCGUGGAUACUGGUAAUCUUGAAUAUCGUGGAGGUAAGCGGAAUAUGGUCAUGUAGCGGUGAAAUGCUUAGAUAUGACAUAGAACACCGAUAGCGAAGGCAGCUUGCUACACGAUUAUUGACACUGAGGCACGAAAGCGUGGGGAGCAAACAGG